GACGAACGCUGGCGGCGUGCUUAACACAUGCAAGUCGAACGGAAAGGCCCUGCUUUUUUGGGGUGCUCGAGUGGCGAACGGGUGAGUCACCCGUGAGUAACCUGCCCUUGACUUUGGGAUAACUUCAGGAAACUGGGUCUAAUACCGGAUAGGCGCUCCUGCUGCAUGGUGGGGGUGGGAAUGUUGCGGCGGUUGGGGAUGGACUCGCGGCUUAUCAGCUUGUUGGUGGGGUAUUGGCUUACCAAGGCCUUGACGGGUAGCCGGCCUGAGAGGGUGAACGGCGACAUUGGGACUGAGGGACGGACCAGACGGCUACGGGAGGCAGCAGUGGGAAAUAUUGCACAAUGGGGCGAAGCCUGAUGCAGCAACGCCGCGUGCGGGAUGACGGCCUGCGGGUUGUAAACCGCUUUCGCCUGUGACGAGGCGUGAGUGACGGUAAUGGGUAAAGAAGCACCGGCUAACUACGUG
rnacentral:rRNA from 1 species